rnacentral:rRNA from 1 species
UACGAAGGGUGCAAGCGUUGUUCGGAGUUACUGGGCGUAAAGAGCGCGUAGGCGGCCCACUAAGUUAGUUGUUAAAUCCCACGGCUUAACCGUGGAUAUGCAGCUGAUACUGGUAGGCUAGAGCACAAGAGAGAGAAGUGGAAUUCCCGGAGUAGCGGUAAAAUGCGUAGAUCUCGGGAGGAACACCGAUGGCGAAGGCAGCUUCUUGGCUUGUGGCUGACGCUAAAGCGCGAAAGCGUGGGGAG